UACGAGAGCCUCGAGCGUUAUCCGGAAUUAUUGGGCGUAAAGGGUGCGUAGGUUGUUCUGUUAGUCUUUUGUCAAAGCCCCGGGCUUAACCUGGGAUAGGCGAAAGAAACGGCAGAACUUGAAAGUGUGAGGGGUGUACGGAACUCAUGGUGUAGGGGUGAAAUCCGUUGAUAUCAUGGGGAACACCAAAAGCGAAAGCAGUACACUGGCGCAUAUUUGACACUGAAGCACGAAAGCGUGGGUAGCGAACUGGG
rnacentral:rRNA from 1 species